rnacentral:rRNA from 1 species
AACAGGAUUAGAUACCCUGGGUAGUCCACGCCGUAAACGAUGUCGAUUUGGAGGUUGUGCCCUUGAGGCGUGGCUUCCGGAGCUAACGCGUUAAAUCGACCGCCUGGGGAGUACGGCCGCAAGGUUAAAACUCAAAUGAAUUGACGGGGGCCCGCACAAGCGGUGGAGCACGUGGUUUAAUUCGAUGCAACGCGAAGAACCUUACCUGGUCUUGACAUCCACAGAACUUAGCAGAGAUGCUUUGGUGCCUUCGGGAACUGUGAGACAGGUGCUGCAUGGCUGUCGUCAGCUCGUGUUGUGAAAUGUUGGGUUAAGUCCCGCAACGAGCGCAACCCUUAUCCUUUGUUGCCAGCGGUUAGGCCGGGAACUCAAAGGAGACUGCCAGUGAUAAACUGGAGGAAGGUGGGGAUGACGUCAAGUCAUCAUGGCCCUUACGACCAGGGCUACACACGUGCUACAAUGGCAUAUACAAAGAGAAGCGACCUCGCGAGAGCAAGCGGACCUCAUAAAGUAUGUCGUAGUCCGGAUUGGAGUCUGCAACUCGACUCCAUGAAGUCGGAAUCGCUAGUAAUCGUAGAUCAGAAUGCUACGGUGAAUACGUUCCCGGGCCUUGUACACACCGCCCGUCACACCAUGGGAGUGGGUUGCAAAAGAAGUAGGUAGCUUAACCUUCGGGAGGGCGCUUACCACUUUGUGAUUCAUGACUGGGGUGAAGUCGUAACAAGGUAU